rnacentral:rRNA from 1 species
GACGAACGCUGGCGGCGUGCUUAACACAUGCAAGUCGAACGGAAAGGCCCUGCUUUUGUGGGGUGCUCGAGUGGCGAACGGGUGAGUAACACGUGAGUAACCUGCCCUUGACUUUGGGAUAACUUCAGGAAACUGGGGCUAAUACCGGAUAGGAGCUCCUGCUGCAUGGUGGGGGUUGGAAAGUUUCGGCGGUUGGGGAUGGACUCGCGGCUUAUCAGCUUGUUGGUGGGGUAGUGGCUUACCAAGGCUUUGACGGGUAGCCGGCCUGAGAGGGUGACCGGCCACAUUGGGACUGAGAUACGGCCCAGGCUCCUACGGGAGGCAGCAGUGGGGAAUAUUGCACAAUGGGCGGAACCCUGAUGCAGCAACGCCGCGUGCGGGAUGACGGCCUUCGGGUUGUAAACCGCUUUCGCCUGUGACGAAGCGUGAGUGACGGUAAUGGGUAAAGAAGCACCGGCUAACUACGUG